GUUGAACCGUCGGGGAACAAUCGCGCGAACAAUCCUAUGAAUUACCGCAAAUAUUUGCCGGGCGUCAAUUGCGCGCGAUGUGUGCACGUUCUGCGUAUAUAAGAGUGUUUGUGUGUGUCUUCGCACGUUCGCUAUUAUUUGCGAAGGGUACACCUAUGCCGCGAUUAUCAUAGGCUUCGAAAAACGAAAAUUCUUUCCAAAUAAUAUUGGCGUGAAUGGGAUUCAACGAAUAAGUCGUAUCAGCAGCACUGGAAUCGCGACGAAUGAUGGAUGGAAGAAAAUAUAUAAUCACGACGAAGGAGCGCUGCGCGUGGAUAUUUCUAGACUUCAUUUCAGAAUGGACACACAUUUUUAAACCGGAGCCAGAAGUAAUAUGGGCACAGGUAUGAGCAUAACAGACAAGAGUGGAAACGGAGAGGCGCACGAGAGCAUCUCUUCUCCGGAGAUUCUGGUCGUGGUACCGCGAGGGCUCCGCCGUGAUGGAUAAUUAAGUGCUAACAAGCAGAGAAAUCCCCGUACUUCUCUCCGUGACUCGAGUUAAAUACACACGCGCGUACGCACAUGCACACACUCGCGCAGACUCGCCUAUAAAAUAAAGAAGCGUCUGUGGCAGCAUACUCUGUUGGACGAUAAGGAAAAUCUCAUUUUUCAUCUCUCUCUUGCGUCAUGCCUCCUCCAACAAGUUAUCCAGGAUCGUAGAAUUUUUUCUCAUCACCUCAGGCAGUACCGGAUUCGAAUGGUGAUCGU